CCAAGUUCUAUCCAACACACACAGUACGUGUAGCUAGAUAGCUAGUGCAGCUCGCACAGGCCUUAUCCAAGAGAAGAGACCAAUCGAACCGAUGGAGCGCCUGCCGGCGGAACUCGUCUCGGCGGCGUUCGCCGGCACCACGCCACGUGACGCCGGUCGUGCCGCCAUGGUCUCCACAGCAUUCCGCGCUGCAGCCGACUCCGACAUCGUUUGGGCCCGCUUCCUGCCGCCCCUCGAGCCGCUGGCCCCCGAGCCGCAGUCAAAAAAGGACAUGUUCUUACGCCUCUUGGACGGCCCCGUCCUCCUCCGAGACAGGCUCAUGACUAUGUGGCUGGACAGGGAGACCUUCGCCAAAUGCUACAUGCUGUCGGCGAGGAAUCUGUUCAUCGCGUCGGGCCACAUGCCGCAGCACUGGAGCUGGAUCCCUCUCUCCGACUCCAUGUUCGCGCUCGCUCUUCACACCUUCCUAUAGUAUUCCGUUAUUUGAUGCCCUUAUUAUUACAGCCAACGAUAUCUAUAUGUACGUACGGAGCUACGUCAAGAAUAGUCUUGAAAAGUUAAGAGUACCAAGUUAUAAAAUUUUGCUUUCUAACACUUUUGCCUCUGAUUGGUUUUUCGUCCUGAUUACAGAUGAUAACCCUAGCUAUGUGUGCCACAGGUUCUCUGAAGGGGCUCAACUAAACAGUGUGACAUGGCUGGAAAUCCGUGGAGGCAUACACACCGACAUGCUCACCCCAGACUCCAAGUACGGGGCUUACCUCGUGUUUAAGAGGACCCAAAAUUUCAGUGGGUUCAAUUAUCCAAUCCAGAAGGCCACGCUCUACUUUGGACAAAUAAUGGAAUAUACCAGUCCGGUUCUCCUUGGUGAGAAUUGGACGCCGCCGCCAGAACUGGGUGUAGCUCAGCCUCAGCGCAGAGCCGACGGUUGGAUGGAGAUAUCGCUGGGUCACUUCCACACGAGCGGGAAUGAAUUAUAUGCUGAGAUGUCCUUCAGCCUGAUGGAGACGGAAGGAGAAGUGACACAGAAGCGUGGUCUGAUCGUGCAUGGCAUUGAGAUCAGACGUGAGAAAUCAGGAUGAACGCGUGCUGCUUCAGACUUACGCAUCUACUUCUAUUUACCUUACUUCCAAAAGCAAGGGCAUCGCUAUUAGAACUCGAUACCGUAAUGUAAAUUUCAACUUGAGUGGCAUUGAAACAUUGUGUAUUUUUUAAUUCGUAUAUUUUUGGGAAAAAAAAUCAUGUUUUAAUUAUAUACUUAUUGUGAACUUGGUUAAGGCUUGCAAUCAACAAGUUACCCUGAUCUCAGCACUCUAGGGGCAUUUCUGCUUUUUCAC
rnacentral:rRNA from 1 species